rnacentral:misc_RNA from 1 species
UCUCCGUAGGUGAACCUGCGGAGGGAUCAUUACUGAGUGAGGGCCUUCGGGCUCGACCUCCAACCCUUUGUGAACCAAACUUGUUGCUUCGGGGGCGACCCUGCCGUCCGGCGCGGCGCCCCCGGAGGCUCAUCAAACACUGCAUCUUUGCGUCGGAGUCUUAAUGAAUUUAAACAAAACUUUUAACAGCGGAUCUCUUGGAUCUGGCAUCGAUGAAGAACGCAGC